GUUGGGACACGACACCGAUUUCGUAGCUCCGUUUAAUUGCAUUGCAAUCCAGUCUUGUGAUAGCAUACGUUCGGAAGUCUUCGUCGAGAGAACAUUAGGACAAAACCAGUUGGCUCAAAAAGAAUAACAAAAUGGGAUUCAUCACUGUUGUGAUUCAACUGGCAUUAUUGUUCGUAUUUUCAAUCUACUGUCAAAAUACGAUCGCCAAUGAUCAGUCCAACAACUUGUCCAACCCUGAUUUACUUUUUGACAAGGUUGAUAAGGAAUGCGUGGCAUGGCGCACUGUUCCAUGCCAAAAAGGAAUGACACCCACGAGUGUUAUUUCUCAAGAAAAAAUGGAUGAUUCAUCCGAAUCAUCCAUUUGCAUGACAUAUCAAUUGAUUCCGUGCAUAAACGUUGAAUCAAGAAAUUAUCUAAUCCACAAUGGAUUGGAAGAACAGAAAUCAAGCAACGUAAUCGAAAACGAAAAGAGACUGAACGAAUGUGAAGUUAAGAAUAAAAGAUCAGAGGAAGAUUUGGCAGUAGUCCUUAGAAAAUUGAAGGACUGUAGGCCUACCAAUCAACUGGCGGACAACCAAUAGGAAAACGGUAUCUUACAUUUCCAAUGAGGAAAUGGACGCAUUCUUCAGCG